CAGUGUUUCUUUAUGAUGUCAGUGGUUCCACCAGGCAGCCAUGGUGACUGCCUGCUCUGUAAUCAGGAACACCAAGGCUCGGUGAGGAGCAUAAGCCUGGUCAGGUCAGGCCUGGCGGGGGAUUCGAUCCUCUGCCUGAAACCUUGGAGUGUCUGAAUGGAAAGGAGAGCGAUGAAUCAGCUCUGGUCCCCAUGCCUGUCAAAUCCUGCUUCCCAGGAUCUGAGGAGCUGCAACAAGAGUAUUCUGCACAUAGUGUGUCUGUAUACACCAUGUGAGUGUAUCUGGCUACACCCAGAUAACCUCAGUGCUUUCAAAGCCAUCAUCCCAACCCAGAAGGCCGAGGCCAGAGUGAGGCCAGUGAUCUCACCGUGGCCUUAUCUAUGUCGCUUGGGCAUGAGACUAACUCUCUCCUCAAAGCUGGGCCCAUUGCCUCCGUUCAUCACUGAACCCUCAAGUGAGAUGAGAGUUGUCAGGGGACAGACAGGAGACUACUAAAGGCAUGGCUAAGCAAAGCGAUCUUGGUGGCCAUGCGUACAGAAAAAUUGAGAUCUCAUCUGUGACCUGAAUGGAAUGGCAGCCUCAGAGGAAAUGGUGGCGCCUCUAGGCUGAGGGGUGACUUGCUUGCUUGGUUUGGGCUGGAGUGUUUGAAGUGAGAUCUCAUUCUGUAGCCCUGGCUGCCUUCCAAUUCCCAACUCUCACUGCUUCAAUAUUUUGAUCGCAGGAUCCCAGGUGAGCUGCCAUGCCCAGUGGGAGGGUGACUUUGGGGGGGGGUGUGCGUAGAACCUAGGUAAAGCAGCACCAGAUGCAGAGAUGGGGAGGGGUUUCCCUGCUGUCUGCAAGCCCCACAUCUGCUCUCUUCAGGGACACAGAGGAAAGGUCACUCCUGGAGAUACCACGGAUCGAUUUGCUUCUAAAAGAUCUUUUAAUUUUUUUUCAAAAGGCAUCUUCCUCUCAGACAGACAGAUUGAGAGUUUGUCACAGCCCCUGUCAUGACUUUGCAGGUCCAGAGACACCCCCUAGACCCACAUCCAGGCCAAUAGUGAAGACGUAGGAGUAUCUUGCCUCUGCCCUAAAAUGGGUUUUGCUAAGACCUGCCUCUUCUUCGGCCAGGAUUCUGCUCGACCCUGGCUGGGCACAUGGUCACCAAAGCUGGUACUCGAGGCUCAGGGGUGAAGAGGGCAGCUUGGUGAGCCCCAGGUAUCUAAGCUGAUAUUUUAAACUGACUCUUAGGAGAGUGUGGACAUCCCUCUUGUUGCAGGAUAUUCUGUGAGGCGGGUGGAGAUGUCCCCAAACCACUACUAUUCUGCUCAGUUUUGUGAUCUGUGAAAUGGGUCAGUGGAUACUGAGAAGGGGUGAGCUUGAAGUAGUGUCUCUUCCAAACCCCCAAACCCAAAGGCUGAGAGGAACAGAUGGGCAAGCCCUGUAAAUGCCAUGUCCUCCCCUUCACGGACAGCACAGUCCCUGGACUCAUGAUCACGUGACUUGAAAGUUUACA
rnacentral:lncRNA from 1 species